rfam:Idiomarina salinarum strain ISL-52 contig1, whole genome shotgun sequence.
CAUUGGUCCCCUCGCAACGUUAACUGAUGAACCCGGUCAGGCCCGGAAGGGAGCAGCCGCAGUCAGGGAUGCGUGUGCCGGGGUGUGGCUGGUGAGG